rnacentral:rRNA from 1 species
GAUGAACGCUAGCGAUAGGCUUAACACAUGCAAGUCGAGGGGCAGCAUGGUCUUAGCUUGCUAAGACUGAUGGCGGCCGGCGCACGGGUGCGUAACGCGUAUGCAACUUGCCUCACAGAGGGGGAUAACCCGUCGAAAGACGGACUAAUACCGCGUACACUCCAUCUUGGGCAUCCAAGGUAGAGGAAAUGAAAUUCGCUGUGAGAUAGGCAUGCGUCCCAUUAGCUAGUUGGUGAGGUAACGGCUCACCAAGGCGACGAUGGGUAGGGGAACUGAGAGGUUGAACCCCCACACUGGUACUGAGACACGGACCAGACUACUACGGGAGGCAGCAGUGAGGAAUAUUGGUCAAUGGGCGAGAGCCUGAACCAGCCAAGUCGCGUGAAGGAUGACUGUCUUAUGGAUUGUAAACUUCUUUUAUACGGGAAUAACAAGAGUCACGUGUGACUCCCUGCAUGUACCGUAUGAAUAAGCAUCGGCUAACUCCGUG